rnacentral:rRNA from 1 species
AUUGAACGCUGGCGGCAUGCUUUACACAUGCAAGUCGAACGGUAACAGGCCGCAAGGUGCUGACGAGUGGCGAACGGGUGAGUAAUGCAUCGGAACGUGCCCAGUCGUGGGGGAUAACGCAGCGAAAGCCGCGCUAAUACCGCAUACGAUCUAUGGAUGAAAGCGGGGGACCGUAAGGCCUCGCGCGAUUGGAGCGGCCGAUGUCAGAUUAGGUAGUUGGUGGGGUAAAGGCUCACCAAGCCAACGAUCUGUAGCUGGGCUGAGAGGACGACCAGACACACGGGGAAUGAGACACGGCCCAGACGCCUACGGGAGGCAGCAGGGGGGAAUUUUGGACAAUGGGCGCAAGCCUGAUCCAGCAAUGCCGCGGGCAGGAAGAAGGCCUUCGGGUUGUAAACUGCUUUUGUACGGAACGAAAAGGCUCUGGAUAAUACCUGGGGCUCAUGACGGUACCGUAAGAAUAAGCACCGGCUAACUACGUGCCAGCAGCCGCCGUAAGAC